rnacentral:rRNA from 1 species
UACGUAGGGUGCGAGCGUUAAUCGGAAUUACUGGGCGUAAAGCGUGCGCAGGCGGUUCGUUGUGUCGGCGGUGAAAGCCCCGGGCUUAACCCUGGGGAAUGGCCGUCGAAACUGGCGAACUGGAGUGUGGCAGAGGGGGUGGAUCCGCGUGUAGCAGUGAAAUGCGUAGAGAUGCGGAGGAACACCGAUGGCGAAGGCAGCCCCCCUGGGCUGACACGUGACGCUCG